GGGAGGGAGUGACUAGUGACAGAGUGAGGGAGCGGGUGACACAGUGACAGAGUUAGGGAGGGAGUGACUAGUGACAGUGAGAGGGAUGGGGUGACUAGUGACAGUCACCCCCUCCCUCUGUCACUAGUCACUCCCUCACUCUGUCACCAGUCAUCCCCUCACUCUGUCACCAGUCACCCCUUCCCUCCCUCACUCUGCCACUAGUCAUUUUUUCCCUCCC